rnacentral:rRNA from 1 species
GAUGAACGCUAGCGGCAGGCUUAAUACAUGCAAGUCAAGGGGGUAGCAAUACAACCGGCGCACGGGUGAGUAACGCGUACACAACAUGCCAUAUACUGGGGUAUAGCUUUGGGAAACUGAAGGUAAUCCCCCAUAACAUUGCGAGUGGGCAUCUGAUUGCAAUUAAAGUUUCGGCGGUAUAUGAUUGGUGUGCGUUUGAUUAGCUAGUUGGUAGGGUAACGGCCUACCAAGGCGACGAUCAAUAGCUGGCGUGAGAGCGCGACCAGCCACACUGGAACUGAGACACGGUCCAGACUCCUACGGGAGGCAGCAGUAGGGAAUAUUGGACAAUGGAGGAAACUCUGAUCCAGCCAUGCCGCGUGAUAGAUGAAGGCCCUCUGGGUUGUAAAUAUCUUUUAUCUGGGAAGAAACUCCUCUAUUCUUAGAGGCCUGACGGUACCAGAGGAAUAAGCACCGGCUAACUCCGUGCCAGCAGCCGCGGUAAU